AGUGAACGCUGGCGGUAGGCCUAACACAUGCAAGUCGAACGGCAGCACAGUAAGAGCUUGCUCUUACGGGUGGCGAGUGGCGGACGGGUGAGGAAUACAUCGGAAUCUACUUUUUCGUGGGGGAUAACGUAGGGAAACUUACGCUAAUACCGCAUACGACCUACGGGUGAAAGCAGGGGAUCUUCGGACCUUGCGCGAUUGAAUGAGCCGAUGUCGGAUUAGCUAGUUGGCGGGGUAAAUGCCCACCAAGGCGACGAUCCGUAGCUGGUCUGAGAGGCUGAUCAGCCACCCUGGAACUGGGACACGGUCCAGACUCCUACGGGAGGCAGCAGUGGGGAAUAUUGGACAAUGGGCGCAAGCCUGAUUCAGCCAUACCGCGUGGGUGAAGAAGGCCUUCGGGUUGUAAAGCCCUUUUGUUGGGAAAGAAAAGCAGCAGGUUAAUACCCCGCUGUUCUGACGGUACCCAAAGAAUAAGCACCGGCUAACUUCGUG
rnacentral:rRNA from 1 species